AAAUACCAAACGAGAUUCCCUUUAUUUACAUCUUGGCUCCGUGUGGAAGGCACGAGCGUUCCUGUGCCCUCCCGGUAAGCUCGUUCCUCUUUCCGCGCCUCCUUCCCACUUCUUCAGCACUCUGCAUGCCACCGAACCCUCCCUGGUGGAAGCAAGGCAGUGUCCAUCGACAGAUGAAUGGAUAACAAAAUGUGGCCUGUCCGUACCAUGGAAUAUGAUUCAGCCUUGAAGAAAAUUCUGAGACACGCUCCACACGGAGGAAGCUUGAGGACGUUAUGCUGAGUGAAAUAAGCUGGACACAAAAGGACAAAUACUGUAGGAUUCCUCUUAUAUGAGGGACCUAAAGUCGUCACAGUCACAGAGACAGGAAUGAAAGAGCAGCCCCUUCCCACUGUCUCCUUCUCUUCCUGCAGCGCGUGUGGUGGGAGGAGGCUGGAGGGUUGGAUUGUGAGUAUAAAACCAGCCUUGGCAGCUCCUCACCCAGCUCCCCCAGGCUGUGAGCUCCGCUUCCGCUUCCGAGGGAUGAGUUUGGGUGGUUAAAGCCCCCGCACUUCCCUCCUGGUCACAGAUCUCUGUCUGUCCCCCUCCCCAGCUGCCAGGGGCUGGGGGAGGGGAUGGGGAGUGAGUGUUUAAUGGGGACAGAGCGUCAGUUCCAGGCCCAUGUCCAUCUCCCCGCCUUUCUCUGAGCAGCCUUCUUUUCUGAGCGUGGGAUCUGGCGUGGCCGGGUGUAAGGACCACACUGCCCCUGC